rnacentral:rRNA from 1 species
AUUGAACGCUGGCGGCAGGCUUAACACAUGCAAGUCGAGCGGGGAAAAGUAGCUUGCUACUGGACCUAGCGGCGGACGGGUGAGUAAUGCUUAGGAAUCUGCCUAUUAGUGGGGGACAACAUCUCGAAAGGGAUGCUAAUACCGCAUACGUCCUACGGGAGAAAGCAGGGGACCUUCGGGCCUUGCGCUAAGAGAUGAGCCUAAGUCGGAUUUGCUAGUUGGUGGGGUAAAGGCCUACAAAGGCGACGAUCUGUAGCGGGUCUGAGAGGAGGGUCGGCGACACUGGGAUUGAGACACGGCCCAGAUUCCUACGGGAGGCAGCAGUGGGGAAUAUUGGACAAUGGGGGGAACCCUGAUCCAGCCAUGCCGAGUGUGUGAAGAAGGCCUUUUGGUUGUAAAGCACUUUAAGCGAGGAGGAGGCUACCGAGAUUAAUACUCUUGGAUAGUGGACGUUACUCGCAGAAUAAGCACCGGCUAACUCUGUGCCAGCCGCCGCCGUAACAC